CUAAGGCGGAACGGCGAAAGACUGAGCCACCGAGGCGCCCCCUAAGAGUCUUCUUGAUCACUGCCGCCCCCACCCGCACAAGAAUUAAGAAUAUAAAAAGCUGAACACAAAAUAUAAAAUUUCUGAUUUAACUUUCAAAGAUGAAGAAAAUAUGAAAAGCUCUCCAGUAAAGUAGAAAUUACGUUAAUUUCACCAAAAUUCUCCGUACAUUAGCGAUAGUCUAUUAUUCAUUGGGCAUAAGUUCUUCCUGUUUGCUGCAGUAAGAAAAAUUGAAGGCUCAAGAAAAGUCCUGUAAAAAUACCCAAGCUGCAUCAAAAUUAGGGCUUUCUGGCCAUCCAAGUGCCCGGUGGUUCAACAAAACUUCGUCCAGCACUGAAUGAAGGUCCUGUCCCCGUGCUGUAAUAAAGACACACCUUUUUGCACUGUAAAA